GAUGAAGAACGCAGCGAAAUGCGAUAAGUAAUGUGAAUUGCAGAAUUCAGUGAAUCAUCGAAUCUUUGAACGCACCUUGCACCCUUUGGCAUUCCGAAGGGUAUGCUCGUUUGAGUGUCAUUGUACUCUCACUCUCCCGAUGCUUUUGGAUCGGGAGUGGUGGACUUGGGUGUUGCUGCUUUGCUGUGGCUCGCCUCAAAUGGAGUAGUGCAACUCUUGGUUGGACAUAGUACGGCGUGAUAAGUGUCUUCGCCGGCGCCUCAUUAUAGAGGGUGGCCGAUCGGGAGCUCUGUGCUUCAAACCGUCUUCGGACAACAUCUGACAACUUGACCUCAAAUCGAGUAGAACUACCCGCUGAACUUAAGCAUAUCAAUAAGCGGAGGA
rnacentral:misc_RNA from 1 species